GCGAUCGUAGCUCAGUUGGUAGAGCACCGGGUUGUGAUCCUGGAAGUCGCGGGUUCAAGUCCCGUCGGUCGCC
rnacentral:tRNA from 1 species